AUGGUGUAGAGGGAGCACAAAGGGUUUUGAAUUCUUUGGUAUAGGUUCAAGUCCUAUUAUCCUAA
rnacentral:tRNA from 1 species